GGCCCAACCUCCCAUCCGUGUUGACCGACACCUGUUGCUUCGGCGGGCCCGCCAGGGCUCCCGCCCCGGCCGCCGGGGGGCCUCAUCGCCCCCGGGCCCGCGCCCGCCGAAGACCCCUCGAACGCUGCCUUGAAGGUUGCCGUCUGAGUAUCAAAUCAAUUGUUAAAACUUUCAACAACGGAUCUCUUGGUUCCGGCAUCGAUGAAGAACGCAGCGAAAUGCGAUAAGUAAUGUGAAUUGCAGAAUUCCGUGAAUCAUCGAAUCUUUGAACGCACAUUGCGCCCCCUGGCAUUCCGGGGGGCAUGCCUGUCCGAGCGUCAUUGCUAACCCUCCAGCCCGGCUGGUUGCGGGUCCUCGUGGCCCAACCUCCCAUCCGUGUUGACCGACACCUGUUGCUUCGGCGGGCCCGCCAGGGCUCCCGCCCCGGCCGCCGGGGGGCCUCAUCGCCCCCGGGCCCGCGCCCGCCGAAGACCCCUCGAACGCUGCCUUGAAGGUUGCCGUCUGAGUAUCAAAUCAAUUGUUAAAACUUUCAACAACGGAUCUCUUGGUUCCGGCAUCGAUGAAGAACGCAGCGAAAUGCGAUAAGUAAUGUGAAUUGCAGAAUUCCGUGAAUCAUCGAAUCUUUGAACGCACAUUGCGCCCCCUGGCAUUCCGGGGGGCAUGCCUGUCCGAGCGUCAUUGCUAACCCUCCAGCCCGGCUGGUGUGUUGGGCCGUCGUCCCCUCCGGGGGACGGGCCCGAAAGGCAGCGGCGGCACCGCGUCCGGUCCUCGAGCGUAUGGGGCUUUGUCACGCGCUCUGGUAGGCCCGGCCGGCUUGCUGGCCAACGACCUCACGGUCACCUAACUUCUCUCUUAGGUUGACCUCGGAUCAGGUAGGGAUACCCGCUGAACUUAAGCAUAUCAAUAAGCGGAGGAAAAGAAACCAACAGGGAUUGCCCUAGUAACGGCGAGUGAAGCGGCAAGAGCUCAAAUUUGAAAUCUGGCUCCUCCGGGGUCCGAGUUGUAAUUUGCAGAGGAUGCUUCGGGUGCGGUCCCCGUCUAAGUGCCCUGGAACGGGCCGUCAUAGAGGGUGAGAAUCCCGUCUGGGAUGGGCGGCCGUGCCCGUGUGAAGCUCCUUCGACGAGUCGAGUUGUUUGGGAAUGCAGCUCUAAAUGGGUGGUAAAUUUCAUCUAAAGCUAAAUAUUGGCCGGAGACCGAUAGCGCACAAGUAGAGUGAUCGAAAGAUGAAAAGCACUUUGAAAAGAGAGUUAAACAGCACGUGAAAUUGUUGAAAGGGAAGCGCUUGCGACCAGACUCGCCUGCGGGGGUUCAGCCGGUACUCGUACCGGUGUACUCCCCCGUGGGCGGGCCAGCGUCGGUUUGGGCGGCCGGUCAAAGGCCCCCGGAAUGUGUCGCCUCUCGGGGCGUCUUAUAGCCGGGGGUGCAAUGCGGCCAGCCUGGACCGAGGAACGCGCUUCGGCACGGACGCUGGCGU
rnacentral:misc_RNA from 1 species